AGCCCGAUGAAGAAGAAUUCCCAAAAGAUAGGAAGUGCCGUAUGACACUUUAAACGCAGAGGCGGACUGAAUCGAGGAUUGCAUCCGGUUUUUGGUAUCUCAAUCCUCCGUUCAGUCUUCUCCCCACGACCGUACGCGGGUCCUAACCCGGGUCCGUUUACGACUCGUGUUCGAAGCUGCCCGGACCGGGCUGGGCUAUCAUAACCGUACUUCCCACCGUUUCCGUGUCCGCUUCUGUGUGGUUGAUUUUAAACGGGUUUCUGAGGGUU
rnacentral:snoRNA from 1 species